GUGUCCAGGGAUGGGAAUCGAACCCAGUGUUCCGCUUACCGGGCAGAUGCCAUGUCCACUAGGCAAAUAAACA
rnacentral:tRNA from 1 species